UGGGGAAUUUUCCGCAAUGGGCGCAAGCCUGACGGAGCAAGACCGCGUGAGGGAGGAAGGCUCUUGGGUUGUAAACCUCUUUUAUCAGGGAAGAAAAAAAUGACGGUACCAGAGGAAUCAGCAUCGGCUAACUCCGUGCCAGCAGCCGCGGUAAGACGGAGGAUGCAAGCGUUAUCCGGAAUGAUUGGGCGUAAAGCGUCCGCAGGUGGCAGUUCAAGUCUGCUGUCAAAGACCGGGGCUCAACCUCGGAAAGGCAGUGGAAACUGAACAGCUAGAGUAUGGUAGGGGCAAAGGGAAUUCCUGGUGUAGCGGUGAAAUGCGUAGAGAUCAGGAAGAACAUCGGUGGCGAAGGCGCUUUGCUGGACCAUAACUGACACUCAGGGACGAAAGCUAGGGGAGCGAAUGGGAUUAGAUACCCCAGUAGUC
rnacentral:rRNA from 1 species